GCGGGAGUGCCGGAGCGGUCAAACGGGCAGGAUUUAGGCUCCUGUGGCUUAGUGCCUACGAAGGUUCGAAUCCUUUCUCCCGCA
rnacentral:tRNA from 1 species